CAAGUCGAACGGGAAUCUUCGGAUUCUAGUGGCGGACGGGUGAGUAACGCGUAAGAAUCUAACUUCAGGACGGGGACAACAGUUGGAAACGACUGCUAAUACCCGAUAUGCCGCGAGGUGAAACCUAAUUGGCCUGAAGAAGAGCUUGCGUCUGAUUAGCUAGUUGGUGGGGUAAGAGCCUACCAAGGCGACGAUCAGUAGCUGGUCUGAGAGGAUGAGCAGCCACACUGGGACUGAGACACGGCCCAGACUCCUACGGGAGGCAGCAGUGGGGAAUUUUCCGCAAUGGGCGAAAGCCUGACGGAGCAACGCCGCGUGAGGGAGGAAGGUCUUUGGAUUGUAAACCUCUUUUCUCAAGGAAGAAGUUCUGACGGUACUUGAGGAAUCAGCCUCGGCUAACUCCGUGCCAGCAGCCGCGGUAAUACGGGGGAGGCAAGCGUUAUCCGGAAUUAUUGGGCGUAAAGCGUCCGCAGGUGGUCAGCCAAGUCUGCUGUCAAAUCAGGUUGCUUAACGACCUAAAGGCGGUGGAAACUGGCAGACUAGAGAGCAGUAGGGGUAGCAGGAAUUCCCAGUGUAGCGGUGAAAUGCGUAGAGAUUGGGAAGAACAUCGGUGGCGAAAGCGUGCUACUGGGCUGUAUCUGACACUCAGGGACGAAAGCUAGGGGAGCGAAAGGGAUUAGAUACCCCUGUAGUCCUAGCCGUAAACGAUGGAUACUAGGCGUGGCUUGUAUCGACCCGAGCCGUGCCGAAGCUAACGCGUUAAGUAUCCCGCCUGGGGAGUACGCACGCAAGUGUGAAACUCAAAGGAAUUGACGG
rnacentral:rRNA from 1 species